GUUGAAUGAAGGUACAGGGAAGCAAGGUAUCUCCGGAUCAAAGCUUCCCAGCGUACAACCAAAAACAGCGCGGUCUCAUGAGAUGGGGAACUCACUGUCAGGACUGCAGCUCAGCUAACACAAAUUCAGGCAGGCAGCAGCUCAGCUGACCGUUCUGAUUGUGGCAGCCUUUGCUGUACGGCACAUCCUUAAGGCACGGGGCAGUCCCUCAGCAGCUGUGGUGCAGCUCAGGGAAGAAGGCAAUGCUUGGCGGUCAGUUUGGGUUCCCUGUGCACGUGCAUAUGCCGCACUCUGUCUUUGAGCAACAUUUGUGUUGUAAGUGUGCACAGUAGCUCGGCCGUGACACAUUUUUCCCUCUGUAAAGACAACGCCUAAGGCUGCUCCCACGAGACAUCAACUCUGUGUUAGUUUUAAAGUAUCUUUUUGAACGCUGCCAAAGCUCACAUGGGCUUCUCAGUGUGAAGUUCCCAUCACUCAAAGCUGUUGGGGAAACUGCCUUUUCAGCUGGAAUUAAUUUAAACAAGCAAACAGGAGAUGCGUGCUUGGGCCUCGUAGAAAUUUUACUUCUAUUUUUAAAUGACAGUUCUUCCUCUCCGUCUGGCAUGUGCGCCACAGUCAAAACUCCACCCUCAGCAAAAAGAACAGAGGAACAAAAGCAGCGAGGUGCAGCAAGGAUUGGAACAAGGCAGGUUGAGGUCAGAGAUUUCCCACUGGCUUCCAGCUGCCAGGAGAGCCACACUACCGAGCGGAGUGCCAAGGGAGAGGCUCCAAAGUUUGCUUAUGGAGGUUUGGGGAGGUGAUGGAUUGCUUUUAAUCUGAAUGCAGUUCAGAGAAACAAACACCCUGAAAGAAGCUUUAAAUUGCUUCUGUAGUCAGAGAAGAACUAGGUUUGUAGAAACUUCUGAACCCUUCAGAGAUGUCUUUUGAAUAACAAAAGUGAAGCUGUCUUACAGGCAAGCUCAAAACUGAUAACAGAAACAGCUCCUGCCUUCUCUUCUUUUUCAAAACCUCAUUUCACCAUUUUGUUUUAUUUUUCCUACCCUUUCUUGCCUGAAUAUACUAUAUUUCUG
rnacentral:lncRNA from 7 species